rnacentral:rRNA from 1 species
AUGGGGACUCAUUCAUUUAUCACACGGUUUCUGGCAGAUUUGAGUAUUGCUUCCAUGUCACAUGAAAUAACGAAGCCCAGAGAAGCCCCAGACCGGGCGCCAGUUUGGAUACCAACACCGGCGGGUCAUCACAAGGUAAAUGUCGAUGCUGCUAUUUGUAAACACCCUCCUGUGGGGGCUGCUAGUGCGGUUUGUCGGGAUCAAUCAGGAGCAUAUGCUUGUUUAGCAGCGAUGGUAUUCCAUGGUAUGACUGAUCCGAACAUACUGGAAGCUCUGGCAUGCCGUGAGGCUAUUGCAUUAGCCAGGGAUCUUUCACUUACUCAUUUGAGGGUGGCUUCUAAUUGCCUUUCGGAGAUCAUCGACUCGAGCAGGGAGUUUCAGUCUUGUUCUUUCACCCAUGAGAGACGUCUUUCUAACAAGGAGGCUCAUGGCUUAGCUCGACAUGCUUUACAUUUAGGGGAGGGUAGCCAUGUAUGGCUGUUACACCCUUAUGAUACUUCUAUUAUUCCUGUAAUUCGCUCUAUUGAUCAAUAA